GCUACAGUUCUGGAGGGAAACUUUGAGUCUCUACCUUUCCAAGAGGGGCCGGACUCUUCAUUCCUGCCUUGUGUGACCCAGGGAUGGAGGACUGCCCUUCCAACUCAUUAUCCUCUUUGCCCAGGAGCUGUGUGAGACAGAUGGUCAUGCAGUGGAGAAUAAAUGAGGACCCUUUAAUCCAGCUGGUGCUUUGCUUGUCUCACUUGUGGUGUUGGAUGCAUUCGGCUAACAGUGGGAAUCCGGGGGACUGUGUGGUAAGGAUGAGUGGGGUCAUAUACUGGGCUGCCUUUUUUCCCAGUACACAGUAGAAUGGCCAUGCAAGUUGUUAAAAUACUAAAAUAUUUUUGCACUCGUUGAUAAAUAGCAACUGGUUAGGGCCCCUUAACACUAAGCUGUUCCCGUCACCCACCACCCUGGAUUCCUGUGUCCCAGCUCUGGAGUAUUUGGACCUGCCUUCCCACAUCCAGUUGGAUUGAUACCUGGUACAAAAAGAAGCCUUAGGACUUCUGUUACUGCUUUUUAAAACCACUUGUAUCUAUUUGUUUUUACCCUGUAUGCAACCCAACUAAUUAUUAUAUAUGUUAGAAUAGUAGUUGUUUUAGUCCACUUUGCAUUCCCAUAAAGGAAUACCCGAGACUGGGUAAUUUAUAAAGAAAAGAGGUUUGUUUGGUUCACAGUUCUGGAGGCUGUACAAGCAUGGCAUCAACAUCUGCU
rnacentral:lncRNA from 1 species